UACGUAGGUCCCGAGCGUUGUCCGGAUUUAUUGGGCGUAAAGCGAGCGCAGGUGGUUAUUAAGUCUGGUGUAAAAGGCAGUGGCUCAACCAUUGUAUGCAUUGGAAACUGGUAGACUUGAGUGCAGGAGAGGAGAGUGGAAUUCCAUGUGUAGCGGUGAAAUGCGUAGAUAUAUGGAGGAACACCGGUGGCGAAAGCGGCUCUCUGGCCUGUAACUGACACUGAGGCUCGAAAGCGUGGGGAGCAAACAGG
rnacentral:rRNA from 1 species